rnacentral:rRNA from 2 species
AGCAGUAGGGAUCUUCCGCAAUGGACGAAAGUCUGACGGAGCAACGCCGCGUGAGUGAUGAAGGUUUUCGGAUCGUAAAACUCUGUUGUUAGGGAAGAACAAGUAUCGUUCGAAUAGGGCGGUACCUUGACGGUACCUAACCAGAAAGCCACGGCUAACUACGUGCCAGCAGCCGCGGUAAUACGUAGGUGGCAAGCGUUGUCCGGAAUUAUUGGGCGUAAAGCGCGCGCAGGCGGUUUCUUAAGUCUGAUGUGAAAGCCCACGGCUCAACCGUGGAGGGUCAUUGGAAACUGGGAGACUUGAGUGCAGAAGAGAAGAGCGGAAUUCCACGUGUAGCGGUGAAAUGCGUAGAGAUGUGGAGGAACACCAGUGGCGAAGGCGGCUCUUUGGUCUGUAACUGACGCUGAGGCGCGAAAGCGUGGGGAGCGAACAGGAUUAGAUACCCUGGUAGUCCACGCCGUAAACGAUGAGUGCUAAGUGUUAGAGGGUUUCCGCCCUUUAGUGCUGCAGCUAACGCAUUAAGCACUCCGCCUGGGGAGUACGGCCGCAAGGCUGAAACUCAAAGGAAUUGACGGGGCCCUA